AGCUUGAGCGAGCCACCCUUCUCGUCGCCCUUGGGCGGGCACACGUUCUUCGUGACGCACUGCAACCACACGAAGAGGCUGUUUUUGACCAGCGCAGCAGCGCCGAUCGUUGCGGUGGUCCUUACCUAACAAAUUGUCCACCGACUUGGACACGAGGAUGACAAACUUUUCCGGAUCGGACGACUUCACGAUCCCGCCGCAACCGGCUGCCUCCUCCGGCUCUUUCGUCUGGUGAUCCUGCAGCGCAUCGGCCAGAUGCAGCAAGCCGGAGUUUUUACGAUAGGCCGCGUAGUACUCAUCCUCCAACCUGCCAUGAAACCCAUAAGCAUGUACUAUAAACACUGGGAGUGAUGAUUCUGACCUUCCCAUCUUACCAAAUAACGAUCUUCACCGAUGCGAACGACGCCGAACGGGGAAAGUCCAGCUUCCCACCAACAACCCCGGCACAGAUGUCUUCCUGCAGCACUUUCUGGUUGGCCUGUAGGGAAGGGAAAUGAGUGCGGUCACAUCACAAGCGCGAAGGGCUGAAGCCUUACCUCGUAGUACUGCAAAUCACGCUGGAGCAGAAUCGGAAUCCUGUCCAUAAGAUUGCCCUCCUCCAUAACCUCCAUGAUGGUUUAGACACCUUCAAGUGUACGACUGCAGCUUUUACGCAGUGUGUUCACCUGUGUACGGCGGUGCAACCAGCAGCCCACCCUUGGAAACAGAUGAUUUGCCCCGUACAUAAGGAUUCAUUCAUUCAUUGCGCCGACCCGCUGUUGUACAUAAAAAGGCCGUUCCACCGUUCCCAGUUUCAUUCCUCCGUUCCCGGUUUCACUGUUCCCUUCAUCGGUGAAGAGGGGAAAAUUGGUUUGUUUCGAUUCCAUCUCAUGCUUACCAUACCAAACCCAGUUCCAGUGCUUCCACUAUCAUCCCUAUUCCUAUCAUACC